CAAAUAUUUGAUAGUACCUUGCUACUUGGAUACCUGUGGUAAUUCUAGAGCUAAUACAUGCUGAAAACCCCGACUUCGGAAGGGGUGUAUUUAUUAGAUAAAAAACCAAUGCCCUUCGGGGCUCCUUGGUGAUUCAUAAUAACUUAACGAAUCGCAUGGCCUUGCGCCGGCGAUGGUUCAUUCAAAUUUCUGCCCUAUCAACUUUCGAUGGUAGGAUAGUGGCCUACCAUGGUGGCAACGGGUAACGGGGAAUUAGGGUUCGAUUCCGGAGAGGGAGCCUGAGAAACGGCUACCACAUCCAAGGAAGGCAGCAGGCGCGCAAAUUACCCAAUCCCGACACGGGGAGGUAGUGACAAUAAAUACUGAUACAGGGCUCUUUUGGGUCUUGUAAUCGGAAUGAGUACAAUCUAAAUCCCUUAACGAGGAACAAUUGGAGGGCAAGUCUGGUGCCAGCAGCCGCGGUAAUUCCAGCUCCAAUAGCGUAUAUUAAAGUUGUUGCAGUUAAAAAGCUCGUAAUUGAACCUUGGGUCUGGCUGGCCGGUCCGCCUCCCGCGAGUACUGGUCCGGCUGGACCUUUCCUUCUGGGGAACCCCAUGGCCUUCCUGGCCGUGGCGGGGGAACCAGGGACUUUUACUGGUGAAAAAAAUUAAAGUGUUCAAAAGCAGGCCUUUUGCUCCAAAUACAUUUAGC
rnacentral:rRNA from 1 species